AUCAUGGUCACCACUCAUGGUCCUCUCACGUGGCUGAGCAGAACCGAGACAAUGAAAACAAACGACCCGGAACGUGCGCGCGAGAGAAGAAUUGACCAGCAGGACAACAGAGGAGAAGCUUUGUCUUAAUUAUAAGACUCUCACGGCUCGCGAUCGGCGGCGCUCCUGCGGUCCUCCAUUAUCCGUCUUGCAGGUCGCACACGUCGGGAUGAAACGAGCGACUCGAGACGCAGCACGAGCGAGAAAUCAGACAGGGAACACGUCGCUCCGUGAACACGCCGUCCGGGCCAGAGUUCAGGACCCGAGGGGCCACAGCGGGGCAUUUGACUUUGUUAAAUAUUAACUAGAUGCAGCCAUAAAAAAAAUUAAACAAAAUUAAAAAAGCUCCAUCGUCCUGAAACCUGGUUCCCUCCUCAUAUCUCCCACCGCAUUCCUUAAUCCUUCACCACGAUGGAUUAGAAUCACCAAGUGUUCAUUAUGCAUUCAUUACGCGUCACAUGGACGCCUCAUACCCCAAGGGUUACUUUAUAUACACAUGCAGGAUAUAAAUAAUAUUAAAUAUCUAUAAGCUGUAAUAUUGUAUUAGAUAAUGCACUUGGAUACUGACCUUGUUUGUUUGUUUGUUUGUUUGUUAAACCAAACCUAACCCAG